CAUGAUGAACGCUAGCUACAGGCUUAACACAUGCAAGUCGAGGGGCAGCAUGGUCUUAGCUUGCUAAGGCCGAUGGCGACCGGCGCACGGGUGAGUAACACGUAUCCAACCUGCCGUCUACUCUUGGACAGCCUUCUGAAAGGAAGAUUAAUACAAGAUGGCAUCAUGAGUCCGCAUGUUCACAUGAUUAAAGGUAUUCCGGUAGACGAUGGGGAUGCGUUCCAUUAGAUAGUAGGCGGGGUAACGGCCCACCUAGUCUUCGAUGGAUAGGGGUUCUGAGAGGAAGGUCCCCCACAUUGGAACUGAGACACGGUCCAAACUCCUACGGGAGGCAGCAGUGAGGAAUAUUGGUCAAUGGGCGAGAGCUUGAACCAGCCAAGUAGCGUGAAGGAUGACUGCCCUAUGGGUUGUAAACUUCUUUUAUAAAGGAAUAAAGUCGGGUAUGGAUACCCGUUUGCAUGUACUUUAUGAAUAAGGAUCGGCUAACUCCGUGCCAGCAGCCGCGGUAAUACGGAGGAUCCGAGCGUUAUCCGGAUUUAUUGGGUUUAAAGGGAGCGUAGAUGGAUGUUUAAGUCAGUUGUGAAAGUUUGCGGCUCAACCGUAAAAUUGCAGUUGAUACUGGAUAUCUUGAGUGCAGUUGAGGCAGGCGGAAUUCGUGGUGUAGCGGUGAAAUGCUUAGAUAUCACGAAGAACUCCGAUUGCGAAGGCAGCCUGCUAAGCUGCAACUGACAUUGAGGCUCGAAAGUGUGGGUAUCAAACAGGAUUAGAUACCCUGGUAGUCCACACGGUAAACGAUGAAUACUCGCUGUUUGCGAUAUACUGCAAGCGGCCAAGCGAAAGCGUUAAGUAUUCCACCUGGGGAGUACGCCGGCAACGGUGAAACUCAAAGGAAUUGACGGGGGCCCGCACAAGCGGAGGAACAUGUGGUUUAAUUCGAUGAUACGCGAGGAACCUUACCCGGGCUUAAAUUGCAGAUGAAUUACGGUGAAAGCCGUAAGCCGCAAGGCAUCUGUGAAGGUGCUGCAUGGUUGUCGUCAGCUCGUGCCGUGAGGUGUCGGCUUAAGUGCCAUAACGAGCGCAACCCUUGUUGUCAGUUACUAACAGGUUCCGCUGAGGACUCUGACAAGACUGCCAUCGUAAGAUGUGAGGAAGGUGGGGAUGACGUCAAAUCAGCACGGCCCUUACGUCCGGGGCUACACACGUGUUACAAUGGGGGGUACAGAGGGCCGCUACCACGCGAGUGGAUGCCAAUCCCCAAAACCUCUCUCAGUUCGGACUGGAGUCUGCAACCCGACUCCACGAAGCUGGAUUCGCUAGUAAUCGCGCAUCAGCCACGGCGCGGUGAAUACGUUCCCGGGCCUUGUACACACCGCCCGUCAAGCCAUGGGAGCCGGGGGUACCUGAAGUGCGUAACCGCGAGGAGCGCCCUAGGGUAAAAC
rnacentral:rRNA from 1 species